rnacentral:rRNA from 1 species
UAGGGAACUUACGCUAAUACCGCAUACGACCUACGGGUGAAAGCUAGGGGAUCUUCGGACCUUGCGCGAUUGAAUGAGCCGAUGUCGGAUUAGCUAGUUGGCGGGGUAAAGGCCCACCAAGGCGACGAUCCGUAGCUGGUCUGAGAGGAUGAUCAGCCACACUGGAACUGAGACACGGUCCAGACUCCUACGGGAGGCAGCAGUGGGGAAUAUUGGACAAUGGGCGCAAGCCUGAUCCAGCCAUACCGCGUGGGUGAAGAAGGCCUUCGGGUUGUAAAGCCCUUUUGUUGGGAAAGAAAUCCAGCUGGCUAAUACCCGGUUGGGAUGACGGUACCCAAAGAAUAAGCACCGGCUAACUUCGUGCCAGCAGCCGCGGUAAUACGAAGGGUGCAAGCGUUACUCGGAAUUACUGGGCGUAAAGCGUGCGUAGGUGGUCGUUUAAGUCCGUUGUGAAAGCCCUGGGCUCAACCUGGGAACUGCAGUGGAUACUGGGCGACUAGAAUGUGGUAGAGGGUAGCGGAAUUCGUGGGUGUAGCACUGAAAUGCGUAGAGAUCA